rnacentral:lncRNA from 1 species
UCCAUCUCCUUCUUCUUUGCAGCUACAACAUCUUUUAGGAACUUGUUGUACUGAGGAAUCAACAUGAAAGCAUCGAUGAUGGGCAUUGCAACCUGAGCUUCACUCAUUUGCUUCUCAAGCAGAGCUUUGUACUUCUCUAGCAGCUGCCUCUUGAAUCUACCAGGGAAUGGCAGUUUGGGUUCAUAGGGAGGAGGAACAAAAGAAUUCUCAGUUGCUGGAGCAACAACUUCACCAUCUUUCACUGUUUUCUUUUCUUCCCCAACCUUUCAUUUACCUUUAGCUUCCAUAAUCUUCUCCAAAAUCUCAUCAUUGGUCUUCUCAUCAACAAUUACCACAUCAUCAUCUCAGUUGAUGGUCACCUCCU